UAGAAUUUUUGGUACUGGGGAUUGCACUAAGUAAGGGGUGCUGUACUACGGAGCUACGUCCUCAGCCCCUUUUAUGUUUUAUUUCCAGGCAGGCUCUCACUGAGUUGCCCAGGCUGGGCUCAGACUUGUCAGCCUUCUGCCUCAGCCUCCUGAGUAGCGGGAUGACCAGCGUGGGCCACGGUACCCGGCCAGGACUGUGGGUGGAACAGCACUGAGUGCGAAGGUUGCUUUGAGAACUGGUGUUGCAGCAACACUGAGCCCUCUGUGCAUGAACGUGAAAUAGUUCACCAUGGACUCUGGGCUUCCUUCAUUUCUGCAAGCAGUGCUGUGUAGUUUUUCACUGGAUAAUUAUGUGUAGGAGGAGGCGGCAGGAUUUGAGGAUGGACCCCCCACCGGCUGGGAUUACCCUCACGAUCCAGGCCACCGCGGUGACAUCACCCAAGCCGGGUUUAAAAUAGCCCCCUUCGAGGGGACCUGUUUCCCUCAGCCUCUGCCUG
rnacentral:lncRNA from 1 species